rnacentral:rRNA from 1 species
AGUGAACGCUGGCGGUAGGCCUAACACAUGCAAGUCGAACGGCAGCACAGUAAGAGCUUGCUCUUACGGGUGGCGAGUGGCGGACGGGUGAGGAAUACAUCGGAAUCUACUUUUUCGUGGGGGAUAACGUAGGGAAACUUACGCUAAUACCGCAUACGACCUACGGGUGAAAGCAGGGGAUCUUCGGACCUUGCGUGAUUGAAUGAGCCGAUGUCGGAUUAGCUAGUUGGCGGGGUAAAGGCCCACCAAGGCGACGAUCCGUAGCUGGUCUGAGAGGAUGAUCAGCCACACUGGAACUGAGGAACGGUCCAGACUCCUGCGGGAGGCAGCAGUGGGGAAUAUUGGACAAUGGGCGCAAGCCUGAUCCAGCCAUACCGCGUGGGUGAAGAAGGCCUUCGGGUUGUAAAGCCCUUUUGUUGGGAAAGAAAAGCAGCAGGUUAAUACCCCGCUGUUCUGACGGUACCCAAAGAAUAAGCACCGGCUAACUUCGUG